UGAAUACGAAAUGCUACGGCGUCGAAGCAGUGUAUGUCAGACUUCCAAGAAAAGCUCGCAAUGUCAUAAAUAAAGAAUGCCUGUACCAUAACCGACACAGGUGGGUAGGUAGAGUAUACUAAGGGGCGCGAGAUAACUCUCUCUAAGGAACUCGGCAAAAUAACUCCGUAACUUCGGGAGAAGGAGUGCCUUCUAUUAGAAGGUUGCAAUAACAAGAUCCAAGCAACUGUUUAUCAAAAACACAGGUCUCCGCUAAGUCGUAAGACGAUGUAUGGGGGCUGACGCCUGCCCAGUGCCAGAAGGUUAAAGAAGUUGGUUAGCUUUGGCGAAGCUGAUGACUGAAGCCCUGGUGAACGGCGGCCGUAACGAUAACGGUCCUAAGGUAGCGAAAUUCCUUGUCGGGUAAGUUCCGACCCGCACGAAAGGCGUAAUGAUUUGGAUACUGUCUCGGAGAGGGACUCGGUGAAAUAGACUUGUCUGUGAAGAUGCGGACUACCUGCACCAGGACAGAAAGACCCUAUGAAGCUUUACCGUAACUUGAAAUUGAAAUUGGACUUUAUUUGCGCAGCAUAGGUGGAAGGCGUUGAGAUUACUCUUGCGGGAGUACUGGAGCCAUCAGUGAGAUACCACUCCUAUAAUGUUAGAUUUCUAACUUUGGAUCAUGAUCUGGUCAAAGAACAGUUUCAGGCGGGCAGUUUGACUGGGGCGGUCGCCUCCCAAAUGGUAACGGAGGCGUACAAAGGUUUCCUCUGAACGGGUAGAAAUCGUAUCUAGAGUGUAAAGGCAUAAGGAAGCUUGACUGUGAGACCUACAAGUCGAGCAGGGACGAAAGUCGGUCUUAGUGAUCUGACGGUGCUGAGUGGAAAGGCCGUCACUCAACGGAUAAAAGUUACUCUAGGAUAACAGGCUGAUCUCCCCCAAGAGUUCACAUCGACGGGGAGGUUUGGCACCUUGAUGUCGGCUCAUCGCAUCCUGGGGCGGUAGUACGUCCCAAGGGUUGGGCUGUUCGCCCAUGAAAGCGGUACGCGAGCUGGGUUCAGAACGUCGUGAGACAGUUCGGUCCAUAUCCGGUGUAGGCGUUAGAAUAUUGAGAGGAGCCUUCUUUAGUACGAGAGGACCGAGAAGGACAUACCUCUGGUGUACCAGUUAUCGUGCCAACGGUAAACGCUGGGUAGCUAUGUAUGGAGAGGAUAACCGCUGAAAGCAUCUAAGUGGGAAGCCCACCUCAAGAUGAGUAUUCUCAU
rnacentral:rRNA from 1 species